rnacentral:rRNA from 1 species
UGAGGGAAAGGCGAAAAGAACCCCGGCGAGGGGAGUGAAAAAGAACCUGAAACCGUGUACGUACAAGCAGUGGGAGCACAGGUUUACCUGUGUGACUGCGUACCUUUUGUAUAAUGGGUCAGCGACUUAUAUUCUGUAGCAAGGUUAACCGUAUAGGGGAGCCGGAGGGAAACCGAGUCUUAAUUGGGCGUUAAGUUGCAGGGUAUAGACCCGAAACCCGGUGAUCUAGCCAUGGGCAGGUUGAAGGUUGGGUAACACUAAC